GUCUCGACGAUGCUGUCGAGAUUACGAGAGCUUAAACUCGUCCAUGAAACACUAGCAGACGACCAGCAUACGGCGCAUAGCUAGCAAGAGCCAGCGUCGCUCGCGGGCGCCCGGGAGUGUUUUCGAAUUUGAUUUUACAACCGAAACUCAGGAAAUUUGUAACCAAAGAAGAUAAAACCUAAACCAAAUCGAAAAUGGAUCCCGAGGCAUUCCUUGACAUGGCCAAUCAGGUUAUAAAACUGAAAAUGUUCCCGUACUUCGACAUCGCACACUGUGUACUCUGUGCACUACACGUCAGAGAAGAUUUAGGACCUGGAGCUCAGGCAUUCUCAAGAAAACAUCCUUUGUCAUGCUGGCUUUCUACAAUGCUCGUAGUUUUUGCGGGUGGAAUGUUAUGCAAUGGUUUACUAGGAGAACCAAUUCUUGCACCUCUGAAAAAUACAGCACAAGUGAUAGUUGCAACAGUUGUCUGGUAUGUAAUAUUCUACACACCAUUUGACAUUGGAUACAAGGUUGCUAAAUUUUUACCAGUGAAGAUUGUGUGUUCAGCAAUGAAAGAAAUAUACAGAUGUAAAAAGGUUUACGAUGGAGUAACACAUGCUGGAAAGCUUUAUCCCAAUGCGUAUCUCAUUAUGAUUCUUAUUGGAACUCUUAAAGGCAAUGGUGCUGGUUUCACCAAACUUUUUGAACGUCUUAUACGUGGGGUCUGGACACCCACCGCUAUGGAACUUAUGCAACCAAGUUUUCCUACGAAAGCGUCAAUGGUUGCUUCAAUUAUCUUCGUUCUUGACAAAAAGACUGACCUCAUUUCUGCACCUCACGCUCUCGUAUACUUCGGAAUUGUUAUUUUCUUUGUGUACUUUAAGCUGUCAUCUAUUUUAUUGGGUAUUCAUGAUCCCUUUGUUCCCUUCGAGAAUUUAUUCUGUGCUCUAUUUCUUGGAGGAAUUUGGGAUUCAUUAGCUAAAUUAUUGGGACGAGGCCAAGCAAAGGACGACAAGACAGAUACCAAAAAAACUAAUUAAUUUCAACGCUCAUACACACAGACGAUCGAUAUUGUACAUUGAACUUUUUUUCGUAUUUGUAUUGCUACUGAAAAGAAAGCACAAGUUACUUCUGUCGUUCGUAAUUAUUUUUUCAAUGGACCGAGCUAAAAUUAACAAACUGCAAUGAAACUGCUAGCAACCAAAAUCGCGGCGCAAAUAAUAAUUUCAUGAAAUAUGGAAGGAGAAAUAUAGAAAAUGGGUGCAACGAAUGGACCUUCGAUAUAUUCGAUGCAUAUAAGCAGUGGAUGAAAUGAAAACUCGAACUAGUCAAACAACAUUCGGUUCCUAAACUGUAAGAAAUGACAAAUUGUCAUUUACCAAAGUACAAUAAUUUAUUAUAAUUACUAUCAACAUGAUGAAAAUGAUGCGUUUUUAAAGAAUGCAAGUCAUUU